GCUGGGCAUGGUGGCGUGUGCCUGUAGUCCCAGCUACUUCGGAGGCUGAGGCAGGAGAAUCGCUUGAACCCAGGAGGCAGAGGUUGCAGUGAGCUGAUAUCACGCCACUGCACUCCAGCCUGAGUGACAGAGUGAUACUCGGUCUCAA
ensembl:misc_RNA Metazoa_SRP Metazoan signal recognition particle RNA